rnacentral:ribozyme from 1 species
CCCGACCGUUGAUGCUACCUUGACGUGGUGGUUGGGCUAGCUUAUCAUGAUUAACCAAUCGGGCUAUACUGGCUACAACAAUCAUUCCUCAAGGUUCUACCAUGCCAAAUAGAUCGGUUGAAGAACGGUAGGACUAAAAGCAAA